AACUGCGAUAAUUAAUGUGAAUUGCAGAAUUCUGUGAAUCAUCAAGACCUUGAACGCAAACUGCGCCUACGGGUCCACCUGUAGGCACGCUUGUUUGAGUGUCGAUUCAUUCACUAUCCCUUUAUUAUUCCUAUUUUUUUUUUAAGUGGGUAAUAAUAAAGGGGAAUUGGAGGUGUGGUUUUUCCUCUUUUUUUUUUAAAAAAAAGAGGGGGGGACCACUCCUUUUAAGUUCAUCUUCGGACUUUGCUUUUCAAAAAAACGAAUCAGUUUCAGCAAAGAGGUCCAGCCAGUAGGUACCAAUACGUUGGUUUAUCGAAAACUCACAUCUCUCUUGUCUAAAUUUGACAUUCGUUUUUGAAGCAAUAUAAAUCAAGUUCGAAUAAAAGGAAAGAAUCAAAACAACCGAUCAUUUCUCAACAAUUCGACCUCAAAUCAAGUGGGAUUACCCGCUGAAUUUAAGC
rnacentral:misc_RNA from 1 species